AGUGAACGCUGGCGGUGGGCCUAACACAUGCAAGUCGAACGGCAGCACAGUAAGAGCUUGCUCUUACGGGUGGCGAGUGGCGGACGGGUGAGGAAUACAUCGGAAUCUACUUUUUCGUGGGGGAUAACGUAGGGAAACUUACGCUAAUACCGCAUACGACCUACGGGUGAAAGCAGGGGAACUUCGGACCUUGCGCGAUUGAAUGAGCCGAUGUCGGAUUAGCUAGUUGGCGGGGUAAAGGCCCACCAAGGCGACGAUCCGUAGCUGGUCUGAGAGGAUGAUCAGCCACACUGGAACUGAGACACGGUCCAGACUCCUACGGGAGGCAGCAGUGGGGAAUAUUGGACAAUGGGCGCAAGCCUGAUCCAGCCAUACCGCGUGGGUGAAGAAGGCCUUCGGGUUGUAAAGCCCUUUUGUUGGGAAAGAAAAGCAGCAGGUUAAUACCCCGCUGUUCUGACGGUACCCAAAGAAUAAGCACCGGCUAACUUCGUG
rnacentral:rRNA from 1 species